ensembl:lncRNA
GGGGAGGAAGGAGAGAAGCCGUGACGGGACAAUGUGGAGGCUGACGUUAAGAUCCUGCGCUGUAUCUUUACAGAGCUGGGGACCGAACCCAGGGCCUUGCGCUUGCUAGGCAAGCGCUCUACCACUGAGCCAAAUCCCCAACCCAGAUAUUUAUCAGUCUUAAGUGGAUUUCUGUGCCUUACAACAUUGGAUGCUAUUGCCAUUGCAGCAAUGUGUUGAUCCCUCUCUGGGUGGCAAUGAAGACUGAGGCCCCAGGAGUAGGUAAAUAAUUAAGAUCCUCAAAUAAAACCAGAUAAAUACCCAAUGAGAUAUAAACAUUUCAACACAGAAACUCAAGAAACAUGGAAAGGCAGCACUACUCCACCAUGGGAUCUUAAUUCCUCAAUUCAGAUUGAAGAUGAUAAAAUAUUACAUACUAGAUAAAGACUUCAAUUUCCUGGUAAAAAUGAUCACCAACCUCAGAAAAGACAAUCAGAAGAGUUCAAUGCAAGACAUGGAGAGGAAAACCUGUAAUAACCCAGAAAGAGUCCACAAAAUCAAUGAGAAAAAUCAACCACAUGGAGGGAAAGGUCACCACAUGGAAGACAAAUUCAACAAUAUAAUUGCGGUUUUAAAACAGCAAAAGAAACAAAAUUUAUUCAUUGGAAUGAUAGCAGACAAGUCCCCAAAUGCACAGAAUGAGAAAGACAUCUAAACACAAGUUACAACCACAGUCAACACAAGCAGAAAGGAAUCUCUCCAUCCAUGUUAUAGACAAAGUGUCAAAAGUGCAAAGCAAACAGGCAGUAUUAAAAUCUAAAAACAUAGCAACUUGCCUGCAAGAGCAAACCCAUCAGAAUAACACAUCAGAUUUCUCAUCAGAAAAAAACAAAAACAAACAAACAAACAAAAAACCCAAGCUUGUACAACAGCUGCCAGGGCCAGCCUUGAACUCACUCUGUAACCUAGGAAGGACUUAAACAUGUGAUUGCCCAAACAACUUAGUACAGGCUUAGAUCACCAAACCCCGGUGACUGGAAGAGUGACACUGAGUCCACAUGCAAUGUGUUUGGACAUCCAGAUGAUAACAUGAGUUUCUUACUGAGGUUGGGCCUACGCGCCCCACUUCUGUGACAACCACAAAAAUGCAACACAAACCAUAGGGAAAGCAUUAUGUUUUGUAGAUUGCCUGUUUUUCCACCUUUGGCAUGGAGCUCACUCUAGCAUUUUUCCAGAGAAGAAGAAGGGCAGACUCAAGGUGGCCACGGGCCCUCAAAAGUAGAUGGUUAG